UUGAACGCUGGCGGCAGGCCUAACACAUGCAAGUCGAGCGGUAGCACAGAGAGCUUGCUCUCGGGUGACGAGCGGCGGACGGGUGAGUAAUGUCUGGGAAACUGCCUGAUGGAGGGGGAUAACUACUGGAAACGGUAGCUAAUACCGCAUAACGUCGCAAGACCAAAGUGGGGGACCUUCGGGCCUCAUGCCAUCAGAUGUGCCCAGAUGGGAUUAGCUAGUAGGUGGGGUAACGGCUCACCUAGGCGACGAUCCCUAGCUGGUCUGAGAGGAUGACCAGCCACACUGGAACUGAGACACGGUCCAGACUCCUACGGGAGGCAGCAGUGGGGAAUAUUGCACAAUGGGCGCAAGCCUGAUGCAGCCAUGCCGCGUGUGUGAAGAAGGCCUUCGGGUUGUAAAGCACUUUCAGCGGGGAGGAAGGCGAUAAGGUUAAUAACCUUGUCGAUUGACGUUACCCGCAGAAGAAGCACCGGCUAACUCCGUGCCAGCAGCCGCGGUAAUACGGAGGGUGCAAGCGUUAAUCGGAAUUACUGGGCGUAAAGCGCACGCAGGCGGUCUGUCAAGUCGGAUGUGAAAUCCCCGGGCUCAACCUGGGAACUGCAUUCGAAACUGGCAGGCUAGAGUCUUGUAGAGGGGGGUAGAAUUCCAGGUGUAGCGGUGAAAUGCGUAGAGAUCUGGAGGAAUACCGGUGGCGAAGGCGGCCCCCUGGACAAAGACUGACGCUCAGGUGCGAAAGCGUGGGGAGCAAACAGGAUUAGAUACCCUGGUAGUCCACGCCGUAAACGAUGUCGACUUGGAGGUUGUGCCCUUGAGGCGUGGCUUCCGGAGCUAACGCGUUAAAUCGACCGCCUGGGGAGUACGGCCGCAAGGUUAAAACUCAAAUGAAUUGACGGGGGCCCGCACAAGCGGUGGAGCAUGUGGUUUAAUUCGAUGCAACGCGGAGAACCUUACCUGGUCUUGACAUCCACAGAACUUUCCAGAGAUGGAUUGGUGCCUUCGGGAACUGUGAGACAGGUGCUGCAUGGCUGUCGUCAGCUCGUGUUGUGAAAUGUUGGGUUAAGUCCCGCAACGAGCGCAACCCUUAUCCUUUGUUGCCAGCGGUUAGGCCGGGAACUCAAAGGAGACUGCCAGUGAUAAACUGGAGGAAGGUGGGGAUGACGUCAAGUCAUCAUGGCCCUUACGACCAGGGCUACACACGUGCUACAGUGGCAUAUACAAAGAGAAGCGACCUCGCGAGAGCAAGCGGACCUCAUAAAGUAUGUCGUAGUCCGGAUUGGAGUCUGCAACUCGACUCCAUGAAGUCGGAAUCGCUAGUAAUCGUAGAUCAGAAUGCUACGGUGAAUACGUUCCCGGGCCUUGUACACACCGCCCGUCACACCAUGGGAGUGGGUUGCAAAAGAAGUAGGUAGCUUAACCUUCGGGAGGGCGCUUACCACUUUGUGAUUCAUGACUGGGGUG
rnacentral:rRNA from 1 species